GAUGAACGCUGGCUACAGGCUUAACACAUGCAAGUCGAGGGGAAACGACGGGGAAGCUUGCUUCCCCGGGCGUCGACCGGCGCACGGGUGAGUAACGCGUAUCCAACCUGCCUCUGACUGAGGGAUAACCCGUCGAAAGUCGGCCUAAUACCUCAUGGCAUCGUCUGCGGGCAUCCAACGACGAUUAAAGAUUUCAUCGGUCAGGGAUGGGGCUGCGUCUGAUUAGCUUGUUGGCGGGGUAACGGCCCACCAAGGCUACGAUCAGUAGGGGUUCUGAGGGGAAGGUCCCCCACAUUGGAACUGAGACACGGUCCAAACUCCUACGGGAGGCAGCAGUGAGGAAUAUUGGUCAAUGGGCGGGAGCCUGAACCAGCCAAGUAGCGUGCAGGAUGACGGCCCUAUGGGUUGUAAACUGCUUUUAUGCGGGGAUAAAGUGAGGGACGUGUCCUUCAUUGCAGGUACCGCAUGAAUAAGGACCGGCUAAUUCCGUG
rnacentral:rRNA from 1 species